rnacentral:rRNA from 1 species
AGCGAACGCUGGCGGCAGGCCUAACACAUGCAAGUCGAACGAAGCCUUCGGGCUUAGUGGCGGACGGGUGAGUAACACGUGGGAACGUACCUUUUGGUUCGGAACAACUCAGGGAAACUUGAGCUAAUACCGGAUGAGCCCUUAGGGGGAAAGAUUUAUCGCCGAAAGAGCGGCCCGCGUUAGAUUAGCUAGUUGGUGAGGUAAAGGCUCACCAAGGCAACGACCUAUGGCUGGUCUGAGAGGAUGAUCAGCCACACUGGGACUGAGACACGGCCCAGACUCCUACGGGAGGCAGCAGUGGGGAAUCUUGCGCAAUGGGCGAAAGCCUGACGCAGCCAUGCCGCGUGAAUGAUGAAGGUCUUAGGAUUGUAAAAUUCUUUUACCAGGGACGAUAAUGACGGUACCUGGAGAAAAAGCCCCGGCUAACUUCGUGCCAGCAGCCGCAGUAAUAC